GCCUGGAUGGCUCAGCUGGUGAAGCAUCUGACUUCGGCUCAGGUCGUGAUCUCAUGGUUUGUGGGUUCGAGCCCCGUGUCAGGCU
rnacentral:tRNA from 1 species